GCACUCAUGUUAGUAGCACUUAUACUGAGAUUGGAACAAUACAGAGAAGUUUAGCUUGGCCUCUGUGCAAAAGAUGACAUACAGAUUCAUGAAACAUUCCACAUUUUU
ensembl:snRNA U6 U6 spliceosomal RNA